UACGGGGGGGGCAAGCGUUGUUCGGAAUUACUGGGCGUAAAGGGCUCGUAGGCGGCCAACUAAGUCAGACGUGAAAUCCCUCGGCUUAACCGGGGAACUGCGUCUGAUACUGGAUGGCUUGAGAUUGGGAGAGGGAUGCGGAAUUCCAGGUGUAGCGGUGAAAUGCGUAGAGAUGUGGAGGAAUACCGAUGGCGAAGGCAGCCCCCUGGGACGUGACUGACGCUCAUGCACGAAAGCGUGGGGAGCAAACAGG
rnacentral:rRNA from 1 species